AUACUUUACCUGGCAGGGGAGAGAGAUACCAUGAUCAUGAAGGGUGGUUCACCCAGGGCGAGGCCUCAGCCAGGCUGACUCGGUUGUGCUGACCUGCAGGAAUCCCAAAUGUGAACUUCACUGCAUAAUUUGUGGUAGUGGGGGACUGCGCCCUGCGCCUCCUG